UGGAAACAGGUGCUAAUACCGUAUAACAACUGAAACCGCAUGGUUUCAGUUUAAAAGAUGGUUCCGGCUAUCACUUCUGGAUGGACCCGCGGCGUAUUAGCUAGUUGGUGGAGUAAUGGUUCACCAAGGCAAUGAUACGUAGCCGACCUGAGAGGGUAAUCGGCCACAUUGGGACUGAGACACGGCCCAAACUCCUACGGGAGGCAGCAGUAGGGAAUCUUCCACAAUGGACGAAAGUCUGAUGGAGCAACGCCGCGUGAGUGAAGAAGGGUUUCGGCUCGUAAAACUCUGUUGUUGAAGAAGAACACAUCUGAGAGUAACUGUUCAGGUGUUGACGGUAUUUAACCAGAAAGCCACGGCUAACUACGUGCCAGCAGCCGCGGUAAUACGUAGGUGGCAAGCGUUGUCCGGAUUUAUUGGGCGUAAAGCGAGCGCAGGCGGUUUCUUAAGUCUGAUGUGAAAGCCUUCGGCUUAACCGGAGAAGUGCAUCGGAAACUGGGAGACUUGAGUGCAGAAGAGGACAGUGGAACUCCAUGUGUAGCGGUGAAAUGCGUAGAUAUAUGGAAGAACACCAGUGGCGAAGGCGGCUGUCUGGUCUGUAACUGACGCUGAGGCUCGAAAGCAUGGGUAGCGAAACAGGAUUAGAUACCCUGGUAGUCCAUGCCGUAAA
rnacentral:rRNA from 1 species